ensembl:processed_transcript
CAAUUGUGCUGUAUAUUUACAUUAAAAUUGUAAUCAAUAAUUUUCAAUACACCUCUAAAUUUACAGUCUAAAUGGCAACCAAAAUUGCCAAGUUAAUACAUUUUAAUUAUUAAUUUAAAGUCUUACCACCAACCAAAAUUGCCAGUAAGUUACUGUUACUUCCAGUCAAUUCCAGUAGUUUACUGUAAAUGUUACAGUAAAUUAUAAUUAGUACUUUACAAUGCGCUUGCACAUUUACAGUACUGUAAAUUUCACAGUAAAUUGUGAUUAUUAAUUUACAAAAAACUAAUGAAUUUACAGUGCGCUUGUAAAUUUACAGUUUUACUGGCAACCAAAAUUGCCAGUAAGUUAUUUUAAAUGUUACAAUACAUU